rnacentral:misc_RNA from 1 species
UCUCCGUUGGUGAACCUGCGGAAGGAUCAUUAAUGAGUUGUCAUGGGGUUCGAUGCUGGCAGCCAAUUUUUGGAUGCAUGUGCUUGCCCUAACAAUCAUCUUCCAAACACCUGUGCACAUUUUUGAGGGAGUCUUGAGUUGGUUGCCGCUCUUGGGUGAUUUUCUCACAUUCCCUUAAAUCAUUAUACGCUAUUAACAAUGUUGAACGUGCUCUGUGCCGCAAGGCUAUUAAUAUAAUACAACUUUUAACAACGGAUCUCUUGGCUCUC